UACGGAGGGUGCAAGCGUUAUCCGGAUUUACUGGGUUUAAAGGGUGCGUAGGUGGGCAGUUAAGUCAGUGGUGAAAUCUCUGGGCUUAACCCGGAAACUGCCAUUGAUACUAUCUGUCUUGAAUACUCUGGAGGUAAGCGGAAUAUGUCAUGUAGCGGUGAAAUGCUUAGAUAUGACAUAGAACACCUAUUGCGAAGGCAGCUUACUACGGAGUUAUUGACACUGAGGCACGAAAGCGUGGGGAUCAAACAGG
rnacentral:rRNA from 1 species